rnacentral:rRNA from 1 species
CCCUUAGAUGUUCUGGGCCGCACGCGUGCUACACUGAUGCACUCAACGAGUUUACGACCUUGCCCGAUAGGGUUGGGUAAUCUUUUUAAAAUGCAUCGUGAUGGGGAUAGAUUAUUGCAAUUAUUAAUCUUCAACGAGGAAUUCCUAGUAAGCGCGAGUCAUCAGCUCGUGCUGAUUACGUCCCUGCCCUUUGUACACACCGCCCGUCGCUCCUACCGAUUGAGUGCUCAGGUGAAUAAUUCGGACUGCAGCAAUGUUUGGAUCCCGAACGUUGCAGCGGAAAGUUUAGUGAACCUUAUCACUUAGAGGAAGGAGAAGUCGUAACA